rnacentral:rRNA from 1 species
UACGUAGGGUGCAAGCGUUGUCCGGAAUUAUUGGGCGUAAAGAGCUCGUAGGCGGUUUGUCGCGUCUGCUGUGAAAACUCGGGGCUUAACUCCGGGCCUGCAGUGGGUACGGGCAGACUAGAGUGCGGUAGGGGAGACUGGAAUUCCUGGUGUAGCGGUGAAAUGCGCAGAUAUCAGGAGGAACACCGGUGGCGAAGGCGGGUCUCUGGGCCGUAACUGACGCUGAGGAGCGAAAGCAUGGGGAGCGAAACAGG